rnacentral:rRNA from 1 species
GAUGAACGCUGGCGGCGUGCUUAACACAUGCAAGUCGAACGAAGCACUUUAUUUGAUUUCCUUCGGGACUGAUUAUUUUGUGACUGAGUGGCGGACGGGUGAGUAACGCGUGGGUAACCUGCCUUGUACAGGGGGAUAACAGUUGGAAACGGCUGCUAAUACCGCAUAAGCGCACAGCAUCGCAUGAUGCAGUGUGAAAAACUCCGGUGGUAUAAGAUGGACCCGCGUUGGAUUAGCUAGUUGGUGAGGUAACGGCCCACCAAGGCGACGAUCCAUAGCCGACCUGAGAGGGUGACCGGCCACAUUGGGACUGAGACACGGCCCAAACUCCUACGGGAGGCAGCAGUGGGGAAUAUUGCACAAUGGGCGAAAGCCUGAUGCAGCGACGCCGCGUGAGCGAAGAAGUAUUUCGGUAUGUAAGGCUCUAUCAGCAGGGAAGAUAAUGACGGUACCUGACUAAGAAGCACCGGCUAAAUACGUG